rnacentral:rRNA from 1 species
GUUUCGGCGGCCAUAGCGAGAGGGAAACGCCCGGUAACAUUCCGAACCCGGAAGCUAAGACUCUCUGCGCCGAUGGUACUGCAAGGGGGACCUUGUGGGAGAGUAGGACACCGCCGGACUU